rnacentral:rRNA from 1 species
CUGGGAAACUGGGUCUAAUACCGGAUAGGACGAUGGUUUGGAUGCCAUUGUGGAAAGUUUUUCGGUGUGGGAUGAGCUCGCGGCCUAUCAGCUUGUUGGUGGGGUAAUGGCCUACCAAGGCGUCGACGGGUAGCCGGCCUGAGAGGGUGUACGGCCACAUUGGGACUGAGAUACGGCCCAG